GCGGUGCCGCCACUCCCCACCGCUGCAUCCGAAAUCCCCCAAUUCUCCCCCUCUCCGCCUCCUCGCGACCUCGCCGUCGCCGCCCGCCCUCUACUGCUCUGCAGCCCUGGCUCCGGGGGCCCCGGAGCCUCGCGGCGGCGUCCUCGUUCAACACCCACCCACCUCCGCGGACGACUCGCGGCCCCGCGGCGCGCCCCUGCGUUUGGCACCCGCGCACGUCUCCCCCGCCGCGGCCGCACACGCGCGCGCCAGGUUUGGGUGAAUCUGUAUUACCAUCUUUAACUUACCAAAAUGAAAUGCAACGCUUGCUGGCGGGAAUUGGAAGGGCAGGCCAUAACUACCACCUGUGGUCAUCUUUUAUGUACUGAGGAUGCGAAGAAAAUAUUGAGUAAUGAUGGUGCAUGUCCAAUAUGCGAUCAAGUUCUGUCGAAAAGCCAUAUGAAGCCAGUGGAUGUAGAUCCGAAUGAUGAUUGGACAAAUAUGGCAAUGGCUGGGAUUUCCCCACAAAUACUCAUGAAAAGUGCAUACAGAAGUGUCAUGUUUUACAUUGGACAAAAGGAACUGGAGAUGCAGUACAAGAUGAACCAUGUUGUUGGUCAGUGCAGACAGAAGAUUGAACUUAUGCAGGGAAAGUUUACAGAGAAGCUAGAAGAACUGCACGCUGCAUACCAAAAGAUGGGUAAAAGGUGCCAGUUGAUGGAACAGGAAAUUGAAAACCUCACCAAGGAUAAGCAAGAGCUUCAGGAGAAAUUUGCAGAGAAAUCCAGGCAGAAGAGGAAGCUCGAUGAGAUGUAUGAUAAACUAAGGACUGAGUAUGACUCUGUGAAACGUUCGGCCAUCCAGCCUGCCAAUAACCUCUUCCCAAGGGCUCAGCAAGACUUGUUUGCAGGCAUGCCAAAUAUGAUGGAUAACAGUAAUCCUCUCAGGCAAGGAUUGGUUUUUACCCCUGACACUCCAGGGCGGAGAGAGGAGAUGUGGGCUCCCGCACCACGGCAGCGGCACUCUAACCCUGAUACAUUUGAAGUUUCUGGGGGAUCUCCUCACAUGGGAGCUCCUCCUGUGGAUGCUAGACCCCGCAGACCAGCUGGACCUGUCUUUGGAGCUGGCACGAACAAUCCUUCUGCAGCCUUGCGGAAUAUGCUGAUCUCACCGGUGAAGCGCCCUCAGCAGUCUCGAAACCGUCCACUCAUGUUCACGCUGUAGAAUUGGACUGCGAGAUCUCAGCGGGCACCUGUACAUGAUGUAAAUCUCCCUGUGCUUUGUUUUGAUAGAAAAUGCUCCUGUGUAUCCCUGGGACACGGUUUCCUCAUUUCUCAGCGGCACGAUAGCAAGCAGAGCUGCACUGCACAUUACUUCCUUGCCUGGUUAUUACAGUGGAAUGUACAGUAUCCAUGCCAACGUUUGCUAAUCGGAGCUUGCAAGAUGUGACUGUUGAUGCGUAUGUGCAACAUAGCUACUCCAGGUUCUGGUUUCUGAGAGCUCGACAACCACAAACAAUGCUGCACUGUGGCCGUACCCGAUGUACCUUUCAGGCUUUCAGCUAUACAGGUAUCAUGACAGUGCGGGGACCAAGAUAUGGCUACCGAGUGCUUUCAGAAGUCGAGAAGAUCUUAGCAUGUGUUUAGUUUGGGGAUCAAGUGGGAUGGGUUGGGUCGUCUAACCCUUUUUUUUUGGGUUGGAUUAACCAUCGUGUUUGGUUGAAGGAUAUGUUCAACUUAGUUUUUUUUUGUUUGGUAUGGAGGAUGAGGUGAGUUGGGAUGGAUGACAAUUUGACACCCUUAGUGCUA